CCUAAACUCAUUUUUGAAAGAUCCCUCUGUAAACACGUUGCCAGGUUACGCACAAUCUAUUAAUAGGAACACCUCAUCUUCCUCUGUGUAAGGCUUUCCUUCGUUUUACUCACUGGCUCUGUAGUGAGAGACACCUGAACAGUCUCCAACUCCUGUCCCUGCAAUGAAUUCUGAUCCUCUUUUCUCAUCAGGACAUUUUAAAAAUUGACUCCUAGUAUUUGAAUAUAUUUAUUGAGCACACAAUAAUUGUUUGAUGCAUGCAUAUAAAUAUGUAAUAAUCAUAUACUAGUAAUUAGCUUUGCUUUUUUAAAAAAGAUUUAUUUUAUGUGUAUGAAUGUUUUGCCUGCAGGUUUGUAUGUAUAUCACACGUGUACUUGGUGCUUACAGAGGCCAAAAGAGACAUCAGAUCCCCUGGAACUGGAUAGUUGUGAGCUGCCAUGUUGGUGCUAGGAGCCAAACCCAGGUCCUCUGCAAGAGCAGCAGGUGCUCUUGCUGAGCCAUCUGUAAGCAGUUGGUUCUCUCCCACCCACUAGUUCCAGAAUAACCACUCAGAGGCUUAUAUUAAUUAUAAAUGCUUGGUUGAUGGCUCAGCCUUGUUGCUAACUAGCUUUUAUACUUAAAUUAACCUAUAAUUCUUAUCUAUGUUUAGCCAUGUGGCUUAGUACCUUUUCUAGUACAACAUUCUCAUCUAGCUUCCUCUGCAUCUGACUGGCAACAGCCUGACUUUCUCACCUAACUUCCUGCCCAGCUACCAGCCUGUCAGCUUUUUAUUAACCAAUGAGAGUAAUAAGUAUUCAUAGUGUAGGAAAGGAUUGUUCCACAGCAGCCAUCUCUCUAGCCCCAGUAAUUAGAAUUUCCAUUUCCUUAAAUGUUAUUUCUAUGUGUUUGUGUACUUGAGUUGAUUCUUAUCUAUUUACUUAGAAAUAUGUCAUAAACUGCUAUAGAUGUAUGUUACUCAGCUGUAUAGUAAACACUGGAACUAAUUUUCUCAUCCAGCCAUAUCUUGGUACUCACUGUUAAUCUUUUUCUAUUUCUUCUCUCCUUUCUUCUGCCUUCCAAGUCUCUAAUGGUGACUAUUUUCAUCUCUCCUGUGAAUAUUUUUGUUGUUUUCCAAUUUUCUUGAGUGAGAGAGAACAUGCAUUGGAUAUAUUCUGUGCUUGGUUUAUUUCACUUAACAUGAUUGAACUAUGUAUUUCAAAUGAUAGGACUUAAUUAUUUCACAUUUUGAAAAAAUAAAAUAUGAAUGAAUUAGAAAUGAAUAAAAAUAAUUUUUAUUUACAUGUUUCACAUGUGAUUCCUUUGCUGUCCAUCCUGGCCUCUGAAGUCAAGGUUUCUUAAGCUAGUCCUUUCUCAGAGAGUGGAUUCUUAGUCCAGUUGUGCCAUCAAUCCAUAGUUACUUUACCUCUGUACAAGUUAAGGGCAGACACACUCAUAACAACUCCAGAGGAGGUCUUUGUCAUCCCAUUUCUUCGAACAGUUUCCUCUGGCAACCACUUUAAGGAUGAUCUGCCUCUUACUUGCUGACAUUCUAUCUGUCUCUUCAGAGUGAGUCCAGAUCACACUCCUUCCUAUUAUAUGCAGAUCACUAUGGAGCUGUACAUUGGAUGCACCAAUAUCACACUGAAAGAAUUGUUCACAAUAAGACCUGUACCUUUAACUCCCAACCUCGUGUUCUAGACAAGCUUCGUGAUCAGCACCAUCAUCACUCUGAUUCAUCUUGUGUGUCAUAUUCCUUCUUAUCUAUUGAAACUUCUUCUGUACUGAAGCUCUGGGCUGCAGAAGAGGGUUUGUUUUUCUGUCUGUCUUCCAUGCCUUUCUCUACUUAUAUGUGUCUUUGUUCCUUCUUUUUAUAUACACAUAUUUGUGCUAUCUUUUCUUUAUCUAGUUAUUCAUUGAUUCUAUAUCUUGGUUGUUGUGAAUAGUGCUGCAAUUAAAACAUGAGUGUAAAUAUCCCUGAUAGAGUGUAGCCUGUAACUCUGUGGGCUCUGGUGACAGAGCUUGAGCGUCAUUAAAAGGCAGUGGUAUGAGUUGCUUUUUGUAUAAUUUCAUUUGCUGGGUUUGGCGACUGCUAAUUCUGUUGAGGAUUUUGUGGUUGUAUCAAUGAGGGUCACUGAUCUGCCAUUGUCCUGUGCAAUUCUUGUGCAGCUUUGGUACCCCAGGAAGAGUCUCAUAAUAAGUGGUUGCCAUGCUCCCCGCUGUUAUUUUCUGAAGGAAUUUUUGGAGUUGGUAUUAUUUCUUCAUUAAACAUUUGACAGAACUCAUGAGUGAGACCAUCUGGAGUUCUUGUGGUCUGGAGAUCAACAAGUCCUAUAAUCUGUGCUAUGCAAGAAGCUGAGGCAGGAGGAUUACAAGAUCAAGGUCUGGCUGGGCUUUGAUCAAGAUUAGCCCGAGUAACUUGGACCUGUGGAGAUCUCAGGUUGGCUGCUGCCGGGUUUACCAUCUAGACUGUACCACUGGCCUCUGGAGUUAACGCUAGGCUCAUCUCUCCAAGCCAUACUCAUGGUGGAAGAAGGGAAGCAGAGACUGUGGUCAGGACCUGGGGGCAUUCGGAACAGUGGCACCACCUCAAGGAAUCAUCAGAGAGCUUCUAGCUCUCCUCUGGUCCUGCAGAUAGAACAUAAUACUGCCUUAUUUGUGACUGCCGUCAUUUCCAUGGCAACCAACCCAUGGCCCAGUCCGAGUUAAGUGAAUACUAUUUGAAGGAGAGGCUAGGAAAAACCUGUGUCAAAUUCCUAAGACCUGCUCAUUCUUCACUCUCUUCUCCCUGCCACAAGAAUACCCAGUUCAGCCCUCCCUUUUCUAGCCUAUUGCACUGGCUGGUUUUGUGUGCCAACUGGACACAAGCUAGAGUCACCAGAGAGGAAGGAGCUUCAGUUGAGGAGAUGCCUCCAUGAGAUCCAGCUAUCCCACUUUCCCACGUGGCUUGGGUGGACAAAGGCGGGGUCCUUGACACCCCUCUGAGCACUAAGUGUCUGUGUCUGGACUUCUCAGCAGUCACAUCUUCGCUCCUCCCAGGCAUCCUCACACCCUCAUUUCAGCUACACCUGGCGAGGGCAGCCACAGGACGUGGAGGCAGGCUGUGCCCAGCCUGAGCACCCGCUGCUCAGAACCUCCAUAGGACACACUGUGAAGGCUCUGGAAAGAGGCACUUGACCUUUUCUUGUAUCAGAAGAGAAAAGCACUGGGGCCAGGAUCCGAAUGAAAGCAGGUUCUAGCUGGAGGGGGUCACCUUUGCCCUCGGAAAGAAAAGGAAGCAUUUGAAGAGGCAGGAAAGCAUCUCUUCAUUAUCAAACCCCAGCGGGACUUCAUGAUAAUUUUUAUAACUUCUUCAUUCAAAAUUCUGGGUGCUAUGAAGGUUAAUAACUUGUGUUUAUUGAAACUUCCCUUCAAGGAACAGAGAACUCUGCAGGCAUUAUCUAAUUCAGAGUUACCACAGAACAGGGAAGCAGGAUGGGGUAGGGGUUGGGCAGACACAAACAGUCCCGUCCUGGAAAACUGAAAAUAUUAAUAGCUCCAAGGAGAGUUUAAGUGAGUUUUAGAAAAUUGCAAGGUGAGUUUAAGUCAUCCAGGAAGACAGAGCUCUAAAGCGAGAUUUUCUUAUCUGUGAAUGGGGCACAAGUCCUCUUUAUUGAUAUUGCUUUGGAAUUUAUCAAGCUGGAGAAAGGAACUCCAACAUCAAGAUUAACAUAUGAAAGAAGUCAAUUGACAGAGAAAGACUGGAAACUCUUCUGUAAGAUGAAUUGCUAAACGGUCUUAUAAAUAAAAAACCCAGAGCCAGAUAUUGGGGUUAAAAGAGAUCAGAAAAGCAGAAAGAAGCCAGCCAUGUUCUUACCACUUGAAAAUCCUCAGCCAAAGAGAGCUACUUCCUGUAUACCCAGGCCUAUAUGCCUUUCUGUUCUGCUAUCUCACUUCCGCUCUCUGCCCAGCUCUGUUACUUCCUGUCUGUCUGUACAGACCUCCGGACCUUUAUGGUUAACUAGUGUUGGAACUGAAGGUGCGUGAUAACAUGCUCUGUUCCCAGUGCGGCCUUGAACUCACAGAGAUCAGGAUGGAUCUCUGCCUCCCUAAUGCUAGGAUUAAAGGCAUGUGGUCCCAUUGCCUGACUUCUAUGUUUAAUAUAGUGGCUGGCUUUUUCCUCUGAUCCUCAGAUAAGCAUUAUUAGGGUGCACAGUAUAUUGGGGGACACAAUGUAUCACCACACUCUUCCUUACCUGGGCUUCCUGUAACAUGCAGAACAUGCUUGAGAAAAGCAAGAGAAGGUAGAUAAAGUGUCAAGAGCCUCUGGCUCAGUGCUUUUCAGUGGAUCUGUGCUCUUCCCCAGCUCGCUCGCCCACUGCUGUUCUUGAGUGAGUUUCCUUUCUUAAUAAAAGAUCAUUUUUUAAAACA